UCUGGUGCUAUAAGCGGCGAGGUUACACCUGAUCCCAUCCCGAACUCAGAAGUUAAGCUCGCCAGCGCCGAUGGUACUUGGGCAUAAGCCCUGGGAGAGUAGGCCAGCGCCGGAA
rnacentral:rRNA from 1 species